rnacentral:misc_RNA from 1 species
AACGCACGAGACCUGCGGACCUGCGGAAGGAUCAUUAACGAGUGGCUUGAGUCUGUUUUUUUUUUCUCGGAGAGCUGGGUUCGGCAGCGAUGCCGGAUCUGGUGGUCCGUGCAGACGAGUUACCCGACCUCAUGUCAUUUUGAUUUUACACGUAACUUCGGCGGAAGCGGUGGGACUUUCCGACUCUUUUGUUCUUCGAAAGGAGAGAGAGAGAGAGAGAUAGAAAGGACCUGCCCGCCG